rnacentral:rRNA from 1 species
UGGGGAAUAUUGGGCAAUGGGCGAAAGCCUGACCCAGCAACGCCGCGUGAGUGAUGAAGGCCUUCGGGUUGUAAAACUCUUUGGACAGGGACGAAGAAAGUGACGGUACCUGUAGAACAAGCCACGGCUAACUACGUGCCAGCAGCCGCGGUAAUACGUAGGUGGCGAGCGUUAUCCGGAUUUACUGGGCGUAAAGGGCGUGUAGGCGGCAAUGCAAGUCAGAUGUAAAAGGCAAAGGCUCAACCUUUGUAAGCAUCUGAAACUGUAUAGCUUGAGAAGUGUAGAGGCAAGUGGAAUUUUUAGUGUAGCGGUGAAAUGCGUAGAUAUUAAAAAGAAUACCGGUGGCGAAGGCGACUUGCUGGGCACAAUCUGACGCUGAGGAACGAAAGCGUGGGGAGCAAACAGG